UACGUAGGUGGCAAGCGUUGUCCGGAAUUAUUGGGCGUAAAGAGCUCGUAGGCGGUUUGUCGCGUCUGCUGUGAAAACCCGAGGCUCAACCUCGGGCCUGCAGUGGGUACGGGCAGACUAGAGUGGCGGUAGGGGAGAUUGGAAUUCCUGGUGUAGCGGUGGAAUGCGCAGAUAUCAGGAGGAACACCAAUGGCGAAGGCAGAUCUCUGGGCCGUAACUGACGCUGGAGGAGCGAAAGCAUGGGGAGCGAACAGG
rnacentral:rRNA from 1 species